rnacentral:piRNA from 1 species
UGACCUCACAGGAAUAAAGACGUGUUAGACA